rnacentral:misc_RNA from 1 species
GCAGCCACAUAGAGAGGACGGGGGAACAAUAAGUUCCAGUGGAUGUAUGAUACAUAUCCUGUUGACCGAAGUGAGGGCAUCCCUUGAAUAAUUUGGCAAUUAGCAGUAAUAAUUUUAUAGCCUUUAGUUUUUUGACACGCUGGAAGUCCUUCGUGGCUUCGUCAAGUGCAACUUUCCUGUUGCAUGACCCCCCACAUCUUGCUUGAUUUAUGUAUUGUCCUCAAAACCAUUGGAGGCCUCUCUUAAGCAAACCAGAGCAAAUUAUCAAAACUACAGUAAC